CCUUCCUGGCUACUUGCCCGAGCACCAGAGCCCCUCCCUGACCCUCAUCGCCGCCAUGGCCGUCGCCUCUGACCUCUUAAAUUCGGUCAAGCCAAGCUCCCUCCCUCCUCCAUUCCACCACCAGAGAUCCACCCUCUCACCAGCGCACCUCCCCUUCUCUCAGUUCGUCGGUGGAUCGACCAUGGCCUCGACCCCAACUCCGGCCGAGCCACCAUCCGCCGUAGCCCACACCACUGCCGUUUCCGAGCUUCCCGGUGACCGUGCUACCCUGGAACGGGUCGGCCUCGUCGCCCUGAGCACGUGGGUAGGUCGGGCGUCGCCGGAGACGGCCGGUAGCUCCGGCUAUCGCCGUCGAGCGCCGCCUCUACCGCGGCUGCGCGCGGGCAACGGAGGAAGAAGACGACCCCAGGCCAGGCUGGCCCCACCUUCCGCGAGGUCCACCCGUCAGCCGCACGAGGAGUUGACCCCGGGCGCUGACGUGGAUAAGUGGCCGCGUAUUUCGCGGAAUACGCUUUCACCAAAGCGAAAGCGUAUUUUCCCUCUGCUUCAGCUCAAAGGACCUGGCUGUGAAUAUUAUUUUUACAGAAAAGUCCCUGAUGUUCCAACCCUCAUAUCUCCGCAACCGUAACUCCGAUUGAGCCCCCUCCGAGAGAGUACCCUUUCCGGCGAUCUUUCCGCGGUUGUUUCGCACUUCUCCCCGGAGCCUUCUUCAUCC